ACAGCAGUCGCCGCGGUAAUACGAAGGGUGCAAGCGUUAAUCGGAAUUACUGGGCGUAAAGCGUGCGUAGGCGGUGAGUUAAGUCUGCUGUGAAAUCCCCGGGCUCAACCUGGGAAUGGCAGUGGAUACUGGCUCGCUAGAGUGUGUCAGAGGAUGGUGGAAUUCCCGGUGUAGCGGUGAAAUGCGUAGAGAUCGGGAGGAACAUCAGUGGCGAAGGCGGCCAUCUGGGACAACACUGACGCUGAGGCACGAAAGCGUGGGGAGCAAACAGGAUUAGAUACCCCGGUAGUCCCUGUCUCUUAUAC
rnacentral:rRNA from 1 species